UCAAGGUUGACCUCGGAUCAGGUAGGAAUACCCGCUGAACUUAAGCAUAUCAAUAAGCGGAGGAAAAGAAACCAACAGGGAUUGCCUCAGUAACGGCGAGUGAAGCGGCAACAGCUCAAAUUUGAAAUCUGGCCUCACGGUCCGAGUUGUAAUUUGUAGAGGAUGCUUUUGGCAAGGUACUUUCCGAGUUCCCUGGAACGGGACGCCAUAGAGGGUGAGAGCCCCGUACGGUUAGACCACCGAGCCUCUGUAAAGCUCCUUCGACGAGUCGAGUAGUUUGGGAAUGCUGCUCUAAAUGGGAGGUGUACGUCUUCUAAAGCUAAAUACCGGCCAGAGACCGAUAGCGCACAAGUAGAGUGAUCGAAAGAUGAAAAGCACUUUGAAAAGAGGGUUAAAAAGUACGUGAAAUUGUUGAAAGGGAAGCAUUCAUGACCAGACUUGGGCUUGGUUGAACAUCCGGCGUUCUCGCCGGUGCACUCUGCCAGUCCAGGCCAGCAUCAGUUUGCCCCGGGGGACAAAGGCGGUGGGAAUGUGGCUCCUCUCGGGGAGUGUUAUAGCCCGCCGUGUAAUGCCCUGGGGUGGACUGAGGAACGCGCUUCGGCACGGAUGCUGGCGUAAUGGUCAUCAAUGACCCGUCUUGAAACACGGACCAAGGAGUCGUCUUCGUAUGCGAGUGUUCGGGUGUCAAACCCCUACGCGUAAUGAAAGUGAACGUAGGUGAGAGCUUCGGCGCAUCACCGACCGAUCCUGAUGUUCUCGGAUGGAUUUGAGUAAGAGCAUACGGGGCCGGACCCGAAAGAAGGUGAACUAUGCCUGUAUAGGGUGAAGCCAGAGGAAACUCUGGUGGAGGCUCGCAGCGGUUCUGACGUGCAAAUCGAUCGUCAAAUAUGGGCAUGGGGGCGAAAGACUAAUC
rnacentral:rRNA from 1 species